rnacentral:piRNA from 1 species
GGUCGAGUGGGUGAAUGAUAGGAAACUGC